rnacentral:lncRNA from 1 species
AUCACCAAACAACUGGGCAUAAGUAGGUGCUGCUGGUUUCCUCCUAGAAGCCAUCUAAAAAAUAUAAAAAUAAAUUUAAUCAAUUACGACAUAAUUAAAAAAUUAUUUCUUUACCUAACUAAUCACCUAAACUAUAGUAUUUCGUCACCUAACUAAUCACCUAAACUAAUUACCUAACUAAUCACCUAAACUAAUUACCUAACUAAUUAAUCACCUAAACUAACUUUAAAAAAAAUAUAAGAGGAAAGGGAGUGUACCUUAGAGGGAGAGCAAAGGAAUUUUGGAGGAAUGAACGAGGCAGCCUCUCUCUCGGUGUCUCAAUAUAUAGAAAACGUUUCGUCGUAAACGCGACGUAAUAUUACGACGAAGUUACCAGGCCCGCGUUUUUCCAUUUACGACGAAGUUACCAGGCCCGCGUCUGUUUACGAUGAAAUUACGUCGAAUCGAUUUACCAGGCUUUUCCGUUUACGACGAAGUUACCAGGCCCAUCUUUUUUCAUUUACGACGAAAUUACGUCGAAUUGAUUUACCAGGCUUUUCCGUUUACGACGAAGUUACAAGGCCCGUCUUUUUCCAUUUACGACGAAAUUACGUGGAAUAACCAUUUACGACGAAGUUACCAUGCCCGUGUUAUUUUUAC